UUUGACGACCGUCCGCCGCGCCGAUCCCUUUGCCGCCGACUCGCGAGAGUCAGUUCCGGCGCGGGGCGAAUAAUAUUAUUGUCAUCGCGGCCGCCACCGCUACCCGUCAGUCGUACACAACAUGCACAUUGCGUAGACGGUGGCCGUCGUACCGCGCACAGUAUACACACAAUAGUACACUACGCGAUCGCAAACGCGGAACCAGCAACGUUCCAUCCCUCCCGCCAGCCCGCCAGCCAGCCCGCUCGCCCAGGACCGACCGACAACCAGCCAGCCACAUAACCGUCCCCCGCCCGACGUGUUUGUCCGUCGUGUCCUUAAUGAACGCAGUCACCACACACGGGCGUCAUAGAUGUUAAUUGUCCUGUUAAAACCGAUAGGGAUACUAUGUUCCUACAUAUUUAAAGCCAUGGGACAAAGCCUGGUCAUCGGUUCGGAGCGGUCCGCCAGACGGAAGAAACAAAAAACUGAUGGAAAUGUGCCCGUCGACACACCGACCGUGUCACUCACGGCGGCUUCUAUGACCAACCUAGACAAUAUUACUCAGCACCAAAUAGUCUACAAAAAAAUGGAACAACUGAUGGAUCGUAUGCAGGAUGAGAACACCGGCAUCCCUGUGCGUACUGUCAACAAGUUCAGAGCUAAAGUGCCAUCUGUGUUUACCGGUGCUGAUUUGAUAUUGUGGAUAAUGAAGAAUGUGGAUGUUGAUGAUCAAGUUGAAGCGUUAUACUUUGCAAAUCUUUUGUCCACUCAUGGUUACUUGUUCCCAAUUGAUGAUCAUUUUCUGAAUGUGAAGAACGAUGGAUCUUAUUAUCGUUUUCAAACUCCUUAUUACUGGCCAUCAAAUAUAUUUGACCCUGAGAAUACAGAUUAUGCUGUAUACCUGUGCAAAAGGACAAUGCAAAAUAAAACGCGUUUAGAAUUGGCUGAUUAUGAAGCCGAAAACUUAGCAAAACUUCAAAAAGUUUUAUCUCGAAAAUGGGAAUUUGUAUUUUUACAAGCAGAAGCCCAAAGUAAAGUUGAUAAAAAACGAGAUCGCAUGGAAAGAAAAAUAUUAGAUAGUCAAGAACGUGCAUUUUGGGAUGUACAUAGACCAAUGCCCGGUACUAUAAUAACAACAGAAAUCGACUAUAGGAAAUUAAAGAGGUAUAAAGAAUUAUCUACUUUGGCAAAUGGAGACAUUAACAACUCACUACCAAUACAGCUCCCUGUAAAAACUAACGUUAGUAAACCUACUAUUGAAUCUAUAAAAAAAGAUAUAACUGCAAUGCGACUAAAGCUUGAUCGCCGUAAUAUAAAACUAUCAAAAAUUGCAGACACAUACAUUACCUAUUUUGAACAGUAUGCAGAAUAUGAUCCAUUUUUUACACCUCCAGAAUUUGGCAACCCUUGGUUACUAGAUAAUGUUGAAGUAUGGGAUUGUGACAAACAUUCUUCUUUGUUUUUGUAUAGGAAGGAAGUUACUGUGCGUAGAAUAAAACGAUGGGCAUUUAGUUUAAAAGAACUUCUAGCUGAUCCUGCUGGAAAAGAACAUUUUACAAAAUUCCUGGAAAAAGAAUUUAGUUGUGAAAAUUUAAAAUUUUGGGAAGCAGUACAGAAUCUUAAGAAAUUGCCUCAAUGUGAAGUGCCUCAAGCUGCCGAAGAAAUCUGGACAGAGUAUUUAAGUGGCGAUUCAUUAAACAUUGAUUCUCAGUCAAGAGAAUUGAGCCGAAAGAACAUGUCUGCUCCUGAUAGAUGGGCAUUUGAUAUUGCUGCCGUAUGUAAUCGCACAUUUUCAUUAUGUUCAUGUAUACCAUUUAAUGAAAAGUGAUAGCUAUCAGAGGUAUAUAAGAUCAGAAAUGUAUAAAGAAUAUUUAAAUACUUCAAAGAAAAAGACUUCCAUGAAAGGCAUUAGGUCUAUAGUAUCAUUUUCUGGAAAAAGAGAUAUUUGUCCAUCGUGAUGGUAUGCAUACUUAGAUUAUACAAAGUAUCUAUUCAAUACAGUUCAAAUAUAUAAAACAUUAUUUACUUUUUUUAUUUAUAAAUUAUAAGCAAUUUAAUUUAAUUUUUAUAACAUAG